CAAGAUUUAGUAAUUUUUCUUGUUUCUGCCAUCUUUAUAUUAACUGUUUGUUCACAACCCACUGGUCACUGGUGAGGGUAGAAGCAACUCUUUCACACAAUGGAUCCUUACGACAUCAAGAUUCUGUGCUGUUGAUCUUACUAUCCAGUGUCCAACGACGUUUGAUACUCCUCCACUUGAGAAACAGCACUUGUCCCUACAGUGGGGCACAUAACAGAACUGAUCCUGCAAAUUGGGAUGCAAGCACCAGAGGGGAUAUUUUUCAAUGGUGGCCAUUUUGUAAGACCGCCACCAGAAUGACCCUUUUAAGCCACAAAUUUCUUUGAAAUACAUCCACGUGGUCAAUUUGAGAGAUCUUGGUGUCUAGUGUCUAGUAAUUUGCCUUUUUUUCAUGCUAAAUUGAUGUUUCCAGCAGACAAAAUGUCAGCAGACAAAAUAUCAAGGUGACAGGCUGCUUGUUGAACCCAUAGAGCGAAAGAAAAAUUCAUGGACAUUUUUUUUUUUUACAGGCAUGAUUUGGGUGACAGGUCGGUCGUACUACUUAUGCAACACAAAGGGGUUUGAGCCCCGACACUGACAGACAAGAGGAACAACGCAAGACACAAGGAUGCAACACCUUAGUAGAAUUUUGUUGCAGCUCAUAGCCGGACUUUGACCGUUCCAGUCAGACACGGAUGCUGCGACUUUAUGAGAGGAUUUAAAACAGAGGAUGAACUGCAGGCAUGAUUAUGUUUUCACACAGAUGAUCAAAGAAAGCUAGGCAACUAUAAACGUAAAAGGAAACAGAUUUGUGACGAGGUACUAAGAAAAUGUAAUUAACCAUCAAAACCAACAAUUUUUAAACUGUGAGAAAAACUUUUUUUUGUUAGAAUAAAAGGUUUUUCAAUCUAUCAAAAAUUUUUCAUUAUAUUUCUCUGUGUGACUAAAAAAGGCUGUAAAUGAAAGCAAAGAAACAAAGAAGUUCAUGUAAACACACAGGGUUCUGUUCUAGGUCUGUUUGUGAAAUGAUGACAUAUUUUUGAACU